AAGGAAUUCCAGCAGGGAUUACUGCAAAUGAACAAAGUUUGUUUGCAGUAAUCCCUGCUGGAAUUCUUU
rnacentral:pre_miRNA from 1 species